UGGGGAAUCUUGGACAAUGGGCGCAAGCCUGAUCCAGCCAUGCCGCGUGAGUGAUGAAGGCCUUAGGGUUGUAAAGCUCUUUUACCAGGGACGAUAAUGACGGUACCUGGAGAAUAAGCCCCGGCAAACUUCGUGCCAGCAGCCGCGGUAAUACGAAGGGGGCUAGCGUUGUUCGGAAUUACUGGGCGUAAAGCGCACGUAGGCGGAUUGUUAAGUCAGAGGUGAAAUCCCGGAGCUCAACUUCGGAACUGCCUCCAAAACUACAAAUCUGGACCUAAGUAGAGGCAAGUGGAAUUGCGAGUGUAGAGGUGAAAUUCGUAGAUAUUCGCAGGAACACCAGUGGCGAAGGCGACUUGCUGGACUUAUGGUGACGCUGAGACGCGAAAGCGUGGGGAGCAAACAGGAUUAGAUACCCCGGUAGUCCCUGAGCGGGCUGGCAAGGCGCAU
rnacentral:rRNA from 1 species